rnacentral:rRNA from 1 species
CCUACGGGAGGCAGCAGUGGGGAAUAUUGGGCAAUGGGCGCAAGCCUGACCCAGCAACGUCGCGUGAAGGAAGAAGGCUCUCGGGUUGUAAACUUCUUUUAAGAGGGAAGAGCAGAAGACGGUACCUCUUGAAUAAGCGACGGCUAACUACGUGCCAGUAGCCGGGGUAAUACGUAGGUGGCAAGCGUUGUCCGGAUUUACUGGGGGUAAAGGGCGUGCAGCCGGGAAGACAAGUCAGAUGUGAAAUCCCGCGGCUCAACCGCGGAACUGCAUGUGAAACUGUUUUUCUUGAGUACCGGAGAGGUCAUCGGAAUUCCUUGUGUAGCGGUGAAAUGCGUAGAUAUAAGGAAGAACACCAGUGGCGAAGGCGGAUGACUGGACGGCAACUGACGGUGAGGCGCGAAAGCGUGGGGAGCAAACAGGAUUAGAUACCCGAGUAGUC